GACGAACGCUGGCGGCGUGCCUAAUACAUGCAAGUCGAACGCAGUGGGGACGGGUGAGUAACACGUGGGUAACCUCCCAUCAGAGGGGAUAACACUUGGAAACCGGUGCUAAACCGAUACUGAUGGAUGGAACCGGGGGGCAUUAGGUAGUUGGUGGGGUAACGGCCCACCAAGGCCACGAUGCAUAGCUGACCUGAGAGGUUGAUCGGCCACACUGGGACGGAGACACGUCCCAGACUCCUACGGGAGGCAGCAGUAGGGAAUAUUCGGCAAUGGGCGAAAGCCUGAUGCAGCAACGCCGCGUGAGUGAAGAAGGUUUUCGGAUUGUAAAGCACUGUUGGUAGAGAAGCGGUAUCCACCCAAAAAGCAACGGCUAACUACGUGCCAGCAGCCGCGGUAAUUC
rnacentral:rRNA from 1 species